rnacentral:rRNA from 1 species
CAGUCGCCGCGGUAACACGUAGGUGGCAAGCGUUGUCCGGAAUUAUUGGGCGUAAAGGGCUCGCAGGCGGUUUCUUAAGUCUGAUGUGAAAGCCCCCGGCUCAACCGGGGAGGGUCAUUGGAAACUGGGAAACUUGAGUGCAGAAGAGGAGAGAGGAAUUCCACGUGUAGCGGUGAAAUGCGUAGAGAUGUGGAGGAACACCAGUGGCGAAGGCGACUCUCUGGUCUGUAACUGACGCUGAGGAGCGAAAGCGUGGGGAGCGAACAGGAUUAGAUACCCGCGUAGUCCCUGUCUCUUAUAC